rnacentral:lncRNA from 1 species
UCGUAUCACAUGUAUAUGCUCAGAUCCAAUUGAUUGAUUGAUUUGAAUGCAAUGGCCAGUAAUAAUAGUAAUGGAGAAGACAUAGAAAGUUCGGAUGAUAAUGAGAUUUCGUUUGGCAGGGGCAUGGGAGGAUGCAAGUACAGACCGCUAUUUGUUCAUGACCACGAUUGAGCUGUGCUUGAGAUGUCGUCAAUCGAUCCUGGUGAUGCAUCUUCGUCAUCUUCGUUACCUGUUCGGAACAAUGUCAAGUAAAUUUAUCUCCACUUUCAUGAUUGCUCUACUACUAAUUUGAAUGCUAGUACUUUAUGUAUUUAAUUGUUUGAGAAGUGAGUAUUUUCGAACAAGUACAACAAUUUCAGCACAGAGAACAACCUUUUGUGUAUCUAAGUUUAAAGAACCUGAGCUUUGAUCGGGCAUUAUGAUUGAAUUUUUUGUUUUUAUGGAACGAAAGAGAAUUAUGUUACCUAUUUGCAGCAUACUAGCAACUGAAAAAAAAAUGGGUGGAAGGAACAUUGGAGAAAUGGGUGACUACAGUCCAUUUGCUUUUUUUCUUUUGAGGGAAAAAAUCUGGAUGCACCUGCCAUAAAUAUUGGAUAUAGGAAGUUGAAUCUAGUAAACACACUUAACGUAUUGACAAGUAUUCAUAUCAUAAACUGUACGGGUAUGUAGAAUGAAAUAUAAGGAGAUAAUGCUUAGACAGUGUUUCAAGUGGCGUUUUGUGUAUUGCCAAAGAUUGCUCAAGAUUAUGUCAAUUAUGUUUGAAAUCAUAAAUUAUGCUACAAAUUAAUGGUUGAAAUAAUAAACUAUGCUCGUUUUGUGUUUGACUUGCUUUUUAGGCAGUAUUUGGUUGGUAUUAUGCGACAAAUUAUAAAUUACAAAGCAUAAGGACCUACUAUGCUAGUGCAACAACUUAGUGUCUUGUUUUAUUCUUACAUGGAGAGAAAUGUGAAAUUAUGCUGCCAAUAUGCCUCUUUUGAUUGGGAAUUGGGCAUGUAAAGAUUCUAGUUUUGGAUAAAACUAAAGCUAUAUAAGCAAAGCUUUGCAAAUUUAUUUAACUUGUGACAGUUAAUGAGAUUAAUUAGACCUCUUUCUAUCAAUUCUAGAAAUAGCACCCCGUCGUUUAUGAAUUAUGAAAAUGUCACUUUGUCGUUUAUCUGUUUUUGAAAAUGAAUUGUACUAAGAAUCACUUAACAUUACUGUAAAUUCUUCACAUUUGUUCAUUGGUUAAUUAACAUGAUCGUUUUAUGAUUUUUAUUGUAGAAAUGGAACACUCAUUUGAGUAUGUGAUUAUCGUUGAAGAUAGAUUUAAAAGGAGACCUUCACAGAAGUGUUCCCUUAAAAAAACUUGACUACGUUCGGGAGAUGUUAGAUGACGUUCAUAGAUAAGUGGUACAUGCCAUUUUGGGCUACAUUCUCGAUUUCACUCUAAAAUUAACAUAAUUGUUCUCUUUGUAUUUUUUCAAUUUUAUGUGAUCGGAGGAUAAAUGACUUAGAUGCUAAUUUUGCCUAGAUGGGAAUGUUUUGUAUGAUUUAGUUGGAAAACAAGUACAUGAAUGUUGAUUUUGUAAUGGACGCUGACUAGUGCA